AUGCACGCUGGCGGCGUGCCUAAUACAUGCCAGUCGAGCGAACAGACGAGGAGCUUGCUCCUUUGACGUUAGCGGCGGACGGGUGAGUAACACGUGGAUAACCUACCUAUAAGACUGGGAUGACUUCGGGAAACCGGAGCUAAUACCGGAUAACAUGUUGAACCGCAUGGUUCAACAGUGAAAGACGGUCUUGCUGUCACUUAUAGAUGGAUCCGCGCCGCAUUAGCUAGUUGGUAAGGUAACGGCUUACCAAGGCAACGAUGCGUAGCCGACCUGAGAGGGUGAUCGGCCACACUGGAACUGAGACACGGUCCAGACUCCUACGGGAGGCAGCAGUAGGGAAUCUUCCGCAAUGGGCGAAAGCCUGACGGAGCAACGCCGCGUGAGUGAAGAAGGUCUUCGGAUCGUAAAACUCUGCUAUUAGGGAAGAACAAAUGUGUAAGUAACUAUGCACGUCUUGACGGUACCUAAUCAGAAAGCCACGGCUAACUACGUG
rnacentral:rRNA from 1 species